rnacentral:rRNA from 1 species
GAAGAAGUUCUUGUCCUAACGGAGAAAGGUCUCUUUUACCGGAAAGAAUAGUUUCUGGCGGUCUUUCACCUAUCUAGAGGGUUAUGCGUUUGAAAAUGAAACUGCACAAUAAAUCGCUCCUUUUUUUGAAUAAAAGCAUCCUACCCACCACUGUCGGAAGGUGGGUAUAGUGAUUACCCCCUAUUUCCAAAGGGAAAUAAGGCAAGUAAACGUGUAGACUAUAAAAAGGGAGAAGGUGUAAUCCAAUCGCUCUGUUUUAACUCUUCUCCUGAAAGAGGAAAAGGAAGAGAAUUUAGGAGUAAGAGGGGGAGAGGAAACCCCUCUGAAUGGAAAGCUCUGGAAGACGU